AAGCACCUGCUGUAUUCGAUAGGAUGGACUUUGUAUGAGCCAACACAUACAAAAAGGGAGUCUGGGCUCCUGAAGUGGAAUGUAGGCCUUAAUCAAGGAAACAAGAAGCGUCAGGGAGGACACCCACCUGCUGGGGCAGGUUCAUUCAUUCCAUCUAACGAUACAGUGGGUUUUUA
rnacentral:other from 1 species